AGCCGAAACGCUGCAGCACGUUCUGCAGCGUCGAUCCGGAGCGGCGACCGGAUCCUGAUGAUGGCUGCCAUCA
rnacentral:hammerhead_ribozyme from 1 species